CAUUGGAAAUGUCUUUAUCUCCAGUCCAAUGACUCUUUCAUGAACUACAUUCAACAUGAGCUCCCUUGGUUUAAUGCUCUGGCUUGUACUUCACCCUGUAUGCCUAGUAAACACAGUGAAAAUGGAACUAAGUUAGACCUAUAUGUGCCCAGCAAGUCAAAUUUAAGAACAAAACCAUUAAAAGAGUAUAAAUAAAUCCACUACAAUUUACUUUGUGAAACAACAGCCUGUCAGCUAAUAGUUCACAAAUUAUUAAUAAAGUAUGUGAUCAUAAAACAUGAGAGUUAUAAUCUACCAUAUAAUUCAUUAAAAACAAAACAAAACAAAAACCACAAACAAACAAACCUGAAGAUUUAAAAUUCUUACAGCUAAAACUGAAUAACAGCUUUUAUCAAAAUCUGUUUAAAGUCAGAAGGUAGCAGGUCAGUAAGUUAUAGCAUGUGUUCUCUCACAAUAUCUUCCACAGUGUCUCUUGUUUAAAUCCACAUUAAUCUCCAGUUUUGUGAGAAAUGAGUUGAGUACCCAGACCAGGCUCCAUAAAAAUGAACAAAAUCUCUAGUGUUGGGUAUAUGCAUCACUCCUUGCUAACAUCUGGCUUUCACUGUGUCGUGCUGUCAAAACUCUCAUCCUGAUUAACGUAACUUUGGCUUCUCAACCUAGGUAGCAGGGGCACUUCCAUUCUUAUCAGAAGGAGUAAUUUCUUUAAUCCUUGUCAUUCUGUAGUUCUUAGUGGAUGUAGCCAACUGCACAGUGACAAACUUGGGGAUCCAUUGUGUCAGCCAGCUGUUAGAACACCUCAGAUGUGUCUUUGUAAUAAAGUUUCUAACCUAGAUCAUUGUGUCCUACAUUAGCACUUGCAUAGCAGUGGAACAAACAAUUUUCACUAAUUUUAUUUCUAGGACAGCAAAGCUGUCAUUCCAGAUUACUUAACUGUAAUUAUCAUUUUAAUUGUAGAAAUGGUGAGUUUUGCAGGCAACAGAUUUUACCACCAUCUCUGAAUGUGUAAAUUUUAAUUAUAUACUGAAGAUUAUUAAGUCGACAUUAGAUUCACAAUAUAAUGAGUAAGCGCAGAAUACUGAUAACCUGUCCUUCAAGGCCUGAUUGAAUUGUUUCCACAAAUUUUGGAACUUUUUAUGAGCCAUUAUUUUUGUUUAUUUUGUUGGUUUUGAUUUUCUUUUGAGUUUGGCAAAGCAGUUGUCAGGCACAGUAAGUUAUGAUUAAGUAUAUGCAGCUGCAAUGUUUCCUGCAUUUUUGCACCUGCACGUUGAGUAAUAAGACCCAAGAGAUUUGAAAAAAAAAACACAAAAAUCACACAGGAAGACAAAGGAGGACAGUGGAUUGGACAACAGGCUGCAAAAGAGGGUGUGACACUACAGGCUUGCCUUCUUAAGGGGGGUUCAGGACUGUGUGGAUAUUCAGUUUCAUACUGAUGGCAUAAAUACAAGUAUUUUUUUAUUUAUGCCACCCUGUAUUCAUACCUCCCAUAUUAUUUAAACAUGAAAUUAAAAAAAAAAAAAAAAAAAAGUAUUUCUUGUUAACAGGAAGUCUUCCAAAGAUGGUUACUGAAAAUACAUACUAUUAUCCUGAGGCACUAUAACAUCCAUAUUAAUCUCUCAAGAGAGCUCUUGGGAGGCUUGUUCUAUGAUUAUAUAAGAUGGUUUUGAAUUUCUUCACAAGAUAAUAAACAGUAUCAGCUUUUUCUACCACUUUCAUUACUAAGUCUGCAAGAAUUAGUGCAUCUCCUGUUGACGAGGUUUUGAAUAAAACCUGAGUAUUUCCCGGAUGAUAGGUCAGAUUGGCAAGAGAAUAUGUAUAGUAAGAUAAUUACAUUGUCACACAUUUCUUAUGAAAGUUGUAUAAAAUGCAUUAGAGUACCACAGUGCUAUCUCAAAUAUAAAGGCAAACAGAGGGUGAAAAAAAUAAUAACAAAAAUAAUUCCCCCCCCAAAAAGCCCUGACACAACAAUACAUUUUGCCUUAUGAUCAGCCCUUAGUAAACCACUUCACUAUGUGUAUUUAGUAACCAGAUGGAGGAGCCAAGAGUCCGUUCUUAUAAUUGACACACACAAAAAAACCCAACAUUACUACAGUUAUGGGAAUAAAAGAAGAUCGCUAAGUAAUCUGAAUGUAUUGUACUUUUCUGGGCUUUGAUAUUCAAGACCAUAUUAAAAUUCCGGUCAGAUCCUGAGAGUCUAAGUCACUCUGCAACAAAGCACUGAACAACUCCUGAGAAAACCCUUAAAAGUGAUUAUUGAAAAUGGUUAUUUUGGACAACUAUUCCCAGGAAAGCUGUGUUUUACAGAAAGGAAAAUUAUCAGCUCAAUUUGAAAGACUAAAUGUAUAAAUAUAUUACACUAAAAUCAGCACUAUGUAAACAUUUAAAACCUUAAGUCAGACACUCAAAACCUAAAAGUUGGAUACGCUCUGUUGAAGAUCACCUCAAAAAUCCAUUUUUGGCUUUUUAAAAUACAUGCUUUAAGACAUAGAUUUAUGGAAAAAUUACUUCGCAAUCACCUGUCUCAUUCAGCGAAUAGGAGGGGCAUUAACUAUUGAGGUUUAACUUUUCAUUAUUGUACAAAGUGUGCUAUAAAUGAACCCCAAGGCAACACAAUUCAAACUGUGCUUGACAGAAUUAUUUUUCUCUUUGCAGCCUUGCUCACUGUUUUUAACUCUCCUGUUUUAGGGGGGCUUUCAUGGUCCCAUUACUGCAACUCUCCUGGUGCCCUUGAAGCCACCUUUCCUGACCACACACCAUGGAUUAUAUGGGUGCUCCUCAAAGCACACUCUGACUUGUGAGAUUUCCCCACCCCAAAUGUUAUGGGAAACUCCCAGAGCCUUUAGAACACAGACAACUUGCAUAACCAGCUGGGGGACAUCCCCUGAAUCUCAAAGACCUGUUGUCAGCCAACAUUUAUUCUGCAAAGCAGCACCUCCUUACCGGAUACUAGCCCAUGACCCCACAUCUCACCUACUUUCUUUCAGGUGUACACUCUACUUAAAAUACAGAGCCAAAACAAUCAGGCAAGUCUGCUGGCAGACUACAGGUUGGAGGGAAGUUGGAGUGGGAUGGGAAGCCUCCUUGCUUCUCUCUAUAUGGAAAGACUAAACAAGAAAACUCAGUUUCAGAAAGGCCAUUCAGAACAGCCACUUCUUUGUAAAGGCUACUUACAGCUGGCAUAUGCUCAUACUAACGAAUUUUGCCAUCACCAAACAAAAACUCAAGGAGGUCUCAAUCAGAUUAAAGAUACAAGUUCUUAUUUGAAAGGAAAAGUACUACUGAUGCUCCAGAAAAUCCUCAGCACAGCAAGAAAUCCUGCUGACUUUUGUGGUCGUGCACUAUAGAAUCUUUUGGCAGAAGAGAAAGAGGCUUCAUAAUCUACCAAGCAGAGAAAACAUGACAAGAACACAGUAGCAUAGAAAUACUCAGUCUACAUGUAAUGCUGAGUUAGGGACUGACAGUAACCAGGAUUACACUGAAAAUAGGUAGAAUUGCUUCCUGGUCACAAUACGAUUCCUUCUGCCAGGGAGGAUCUUGUCACUCUUCUAGUGCUGUGACUCCAGCUGGCCUUUCACCUGGCCCUUAUCUCACAGCUCAAUACAUGCAAGCUUUUGGCCACCACUUUAGGAUUCAGAAAAUCUUCAUUUAGCAGCUGGACACCUUUCUCUGAGUGGCAGCCAGGUUGCCCUUCCUAGGCUGGAAUAGAUACUUACUUGUACUCAGGUAACAAGCAGCAAAUUCCCUGCCGUGCGCUAGCCAGUAGGGGCUGCCUUUUACACUUUUUUCUUUUUACUAUAAGCCUCUGUACUGACAAUUAGAAAGUAUUUUACACUUGGCAAAAGUUUAAAGUAUUUCCGUAAUUCAUCACAUGUGGUUGGCCAACAGUAACAACUGAUAGCUGCUGUCCUGCUCUACCAGGUAGAGAUAAAGACCACGCUUUGCUAAUAGAAGAUAUCUUCCUUCAGGACAGACCAUGUAAACCUUGGAUUCCCUUGCAAGCAUUGGUAGUGAGAGGCUAAAAACAGCUGCAGGUUCCACCAAGAUGGACUUCUUUUUCUGUGGACAACCCAAAUCCUUUGCUGAUUUAUUUUCUUUGACUCCAUUCUUAGGCUUAUCUUUUUGCCUCAUCAGCUCUAACAUUACCCCAGCAGCUGAUUUAGCCUCUUUCUGCCUUUAUACCUCGAGCGCCGGUGCACCUUAGGACGUAGUUACACUUGUCUGCCACAGUCAGCUCUUCCCAUUAAACACCAUCUCCACUUGUUUGGGUUCCUCUUACUUGCUAAACUUAUAGCCCAAAUGAGUAAUACCAAACAAAUCAUAAGGAACUGAAAACUACAUCUUACCAUUAAAAGUGGCCAAUAAUUGUGGGAGACACCACACAAAGCUAUUUAUCUCCCUGUGAGUGAGAAUAUCAGGAAGGGAGGAGGUUUCUAAGAAACUGCCUAAGAUAACUUUUACUGGGUGAAUUGCUAGGGAUCCAUUACAGCUGUUGACUAAAUACUGACAGCUGGGGCUCAUUGACCAUCACCCCUCCCACAACCCACUGUUAAAAAAAAAAAAAAAAAGGAAAAAAAUCUUUCAGAAAGCAUGAUUGUGUGAUUGUGCUGCAAUUGAAAUAAUCCGUGGGAGAGAGCUUCUCUUUCAAAUUGUCAGUUUAUUUUUUAAUUAUGAUUCUGCAGUUCUUGAGGAGUAUCAUCUAUUUUUUCUACUUGCAAUGAAUUCACUUCUGCAAUUAGCUAUCUGAAAUACAUAUGUAUGUACAUAAAAAUACAAACAUAUAUACAUACACUUUACUCUCUUUUUCUCUCCACACUAAGUACAGAACUAGUAAGAAGUCAGGGAAUUAAAAAAAAUAAAAAAAAAAAAAAAAAUUGAAGUAGUGCUAAAAUUUGGCUGAAAUUGUGCUUAGGUAGUAGGUAGACCUUUUGCCUGUGAAGCUGAAUUCCCCCUAACAUAUUACUCUAAUUGAAAUUACACCAAAAAAUAUACAUAAUGUUUAUAAAACAGAUUUGGGCACUUUCUGUAAAAGGAGAACUACACACAAGUAAGGACAGAUGGAAAAAACACACCCUACUUUACUUAUCCAUCUGCCUGUGUUGGCCUCCUCCAGUGCUUGGAGAUGUCUCUUUGAAAGAGCAGGUGUAAGGUGGCCCUUUCUGUCCUCACUUAUGCAUCCCAGCAGACUUGUUCCCCCAGCGUCACCAGCUAACAAAGUAUGCCAGUGCCACCUUCUUCUCCUCUCCCUGCUCACAGAUCCUCUGUCAGUCCGAAAACCAUCAACUGUCAUUAUACCACAGUAUUUAGCUAAGCCUAAUAUAUAAAAGUACUUAGGUAAUAAACAGAAGAAAAACAAAAAUACAGAAAAUAAUUAUGGGUCAGAUCCAUAGAACAAUAUGAGCUUUGGUUCAGGACCCUUGUGCAUCUGUGAAAAUAGCAGUGAUCAAUUCUUCCUGGUGUGGGUAAAGCAUUUUGAAAUUAUUUUGAACAGAUGUGUCAUUAUUUACCUUAAUUACCAUGGCCAGGUAGAAUACCUAUUUCCAAAUUGCUCUUGAGAGAAUAUCCUUUGUUUCUGUUAGGCCUAUUACUAUUAUAAUUUCCACACCCUGGGAACUUUUUUCUGUUUUUAAAGGUCUUUUGCCCCAGAUUCAAACUUAAAUCAAUCACAGAUGUUUUUCCAAUGUACAUUCUUUAAACAGAAUGGGCCAAUCUGCAAUUUCUUACCUUGUAAUUACUUUCAAUGGGGCUGUAGUAAGUGCUUGUAGUAGUGAAAAUCUGCAAUUGCUUAAGGACUAUUAUGGAUAUAUAGUUACAGUAAGUACAAAACUAAUUUCCUUGUGUUGCACAUACCCACAAACAAAUGCAAAGCCAGUGUAGAGACUUCUAAUACAGAUGACUGACAUUAGCUUUACUAUAGCAUGAUGCUCCUGAAAUCACUUGAAUUAGGCUAAAGAAGGAAUACUUAAACCCAGAUUUGGAAUACCCUCCAAAAUAUGUGGAGAAUUCAGACUUUAUGGUUUGCUUGGGCUUUCUGUUAAAACAGAAGUUCAGACUUUACUCAAAACGUUGUUCCUGCAUUUUCUUUUCCUCAUCUAACACUAGGUUUGUACAUGAGGUUUUUUGUACAAACUGGAAAAUACUUUGCUUAAGCAGGAAAGAUAGCAUAAAGAACAAUUUGCUUGACUAUAUGUCCUGGUUUUGUUAAAAACAAGACCGGUUUUCUUUUAGUGAUUUUUUUUCUUUCAGCUAAGUUCUUCUAAGUACCUUCUACGUAACUGCACUUUUCUGAAUUAAACUACAUGUUUUUCAGACACUGCGCUCCAGACCUGGUAAGAUGACCAACUGAACGCUGAAGAAGCUCACGUUUAGAUUUAUUGCUAUGAUAGCCAAGAAUUCUGAUAAAAUUUCACAUGUUCCAUUGUGAGGGGGCCAUGUUUGCAAGGAGCGGGGGGACAGAAUAGGUGACUAAAACUGACCAACUGAGUAUUCCAUCCCAUACACAUCAUACACCCUAUAAAAGAGGGAGAUCACGAGGGUCUCAUGCUCUUUGAUCAUGGCUGGCAUCUGAAGAACACCCUGCCUGUCAUCCCUGCAAAUCCAAGGCCUGAGACCCUGCAUCCCUGAAUCCAGUUCCGGUUUGUUGUGAAGUCCUGCCCAGGGCUUCUGGGUGCCUUACCUGCUAGAGUUAUGCCAACUCCAUACUGGGCAACGCUGCUACCCCCGGAAAAUCAAGAUUGGUUUUGUUUAUUUUGUAUAUUUUCUCUAUUUAUUAGUAGCAUUAGUAAAGCCUUUAAACCCUUUCCAACUUGCAAAGCCUCUCUUCCUUAUCCUUUUUUUUUAUCCACUUUUUCCUAUCUGAAGAGAGGGCGGAGGGAAGAUUAACAGAGAACAUCUGCCACAGUUUGUUGUCACCACUCAGUUAAACCCUGACACUAUAUAAAGAUUAAUUCCACAGAAGUGUCAUUACAUGGCCCUUACUGAAGUUACUCUCAGCUUAUACAACUGUAAAUGAGAAGGUGAUUUUAUCAUCUGUGAAAACUGCACACAGAGGAUGCAUAAACAGAUGCAUCUCAACCUUAAACAUGUGAUGCUUCCACUAGCAGUUAGGGACCAGAUAAACAACACCCACAUGAGUUCUUUUAAGUUCUCCUACUAUCUUUUUUGGUCUGAUGCCUCUGGAAAUAAUUAGCAAGUCCUCACAAAUGACAUUUAUAUAAGUGCUGACAAACCCUGAAAUAUACAGUAAGUCUUUUUUUUUUAAAAAAAGAAAAUACAUAGUGAAUGAUGAUCACCUACAAUAUGAAUUACAGAUUCUGUGCAAGUUAGCCUGAUUCAUGAUUAUGCAGUGCUUAAGGGUCUGCUGCUACAUUUACAUUUUUACCAUGAGCUUUUUUGGUUUGCAUCAUCUUGAAAUAUAGAUUAAAACUCCACAGCCAGAUGAUUAAUUAAGUCUAAAAAACCCUGUGUGCCUGAUCUCCAUGUACUGAAAAUUAAUGCAGUGCAGUUUUUAUCCCAGAUGAAUAUCUAGCUCUGAAUUUCAGUGAGACGCUAAUACUUUAGGACUGAAGGUUUUAUUUACAGAAUUUAUUUUUGCUGGGUGGAAGAACAAAUGUAAUCAUAUUUUGAUAUUAAAUCAAUAUGUUGCACACAUUCUUUAGAUGCUAUCUUUCAUCUGGAAAAAACAAAACAAAACAAAACAAAACAAAACACCAAAUUGUGGAAUGUUUAGUGGAAAACUCAAGAGAGGACAAGAGACUUAGACACAAAAAGUAACCUAUCUCUGCCCAAAGUGUGUGGUACUAAAAAGUUCCACAUGGGAAUUCAAAGACGUUGGCUGUGCAUAUCAGUAUCUGGGCUGGCUGACUGCAAAAGCUGAUAAGAACAGCCAUACUGCUUAGUACAGGAAUAGUUUUUUAAACUAUUUUGGAGAACUGAAUAAUGUGUCUAAAUAGUGAAUCAGUGAUGUGUGUUUUCCAACACCUUGUUUGUGCAGGGAAAAUCUGUCUUCCAAUCAAUUAUUCAAAACAUAACUGCUAACCUAUUUAAGUUUGAAUAUAGGUGUACAGGAACCAUGUUUUUCAGCUACACUCCAACCCUGGAAUCCCUGCAGAAUAAAGUAAAUGGAUGACUAUGUCCAGUGAACUAUUCAGAACAGUAAAUCUUUCACAAUUCUGGGGCAAUGUGUCAAAGAAAUAUAGGUGUUCCCUAAAUACAGAAAAGCCUAUUUAAGGAUAACUUGCAGAAAGUGUGUAAAAAUACUUCCAACUUCUGCAAGUCUUCCAAUGUAACUUAAAGCAUGAUGGCUGCCCCAUUCGUGUCAAAGGUUAACAAAAUUUCUUCAAUAAUUUAUCAAGGUUAAAGUUUUUCUCUAAACAAAUACAACUUCAGUGAACUAUUUAGAUACUCAGUCUGCCUUUCAACAUGGAAGAUUAAAUAAGCUGUAGCGUUUUGCAAUUUUAGUUUAUGGUGUAUUUUGCAGAAUCUUCACAUUAGUUUCAUUUUUAGGAGAGCUGAACAUUAAUAUAGAAAUAAUGUGAUCAGUAAUUUUAUGUAAUGUGCUGUUUUACCCUCAGCCAUUGACAAGGAAAUAGAACUAAAAUUGGAAGCAAUUGCAGUGCCCCAGCAUUUGAACCAAAACCAAUUACAGUAUUAGUAAUUAAUGUUAAAGCACAAUAAUAUGCUUAUUUAAGACAAUCCCUAAACCAUCUUAUUUGUUACGUAUAUUAUAGAAAUUCAAUCUAGAAUUGCCAGAUACAGCUCAUUGAGAUUUCUCGGUUCAAUUAGGAGCUUUCUGGUUUGAGAUAUUAAAAAUAAUAUUAAUUAUGUGGUAACAGCUGCUAUAACAUACUUCCAACAUCUCAUUAAGAAAAGAUAAGUCAGAUUUUAUCAUCAUAUAUGAAAACUGUUCAAAAGUUGUGAUUUGCUAUUUUAUCAUUUUUAGAUCUUGCAACAUUCAAGGCCAGACUGGAUGGGACUCUGAGCAACCUCAUCUGGGUGAACACGUCCCUGUUCAUUGCAGGAGGGUUGGACUAGAUGACCUUUGGAUGUCCCUUGCAACCCAAACUAAUCUAUAAUUCUACAGUUCUAUGCCAUUUACAUUGAGAGUGUCAAAAGUGGGCACUAGUUGUGUGUGUUUGUUUAUGGUUAUUUAAGACAUAUAUUUAUAGGAAAGCUGGCUAGUCCUCACUGCUUCUGGAAUCAAUAGAAACUGUGUGUUCAGCAUAUCAAUGGGCUUCUUGUCUGGAAAUCCAGGUUGCAGUCAUACACAAAUAAAUGGCCGUUCUUGAUUUCGCAGUCAGUAAACAUAAAUAAUUAAGGCUUGUGAUGUACUCAGGUACUACCAUGUGCAUGAUUUGAAAAAGAAAGAAUAAAAUAAAUCCAUGAGAAAGCAACUGUGCUGCCAAAGACUUAAACACCGUGCGGUAAAUGAGUACAAGCUGCUCACUGAACAGGGCAAGUAUCAUUUCUCCACCCAGCUGUUCUGCCCGUCCUGGGGCAGGAAUAUGUGGAUCAGUGGGCAGAGACACCUGGCUCUGAGAAAAAAAUCUGUUCCUCUACUGAACAGCACAGAAAUAAAUAAAAUAGUGAGCAGUUGCUCCCGAACUGAGCAUUUUCUGCUCUGCUCACUGAAUACAGACUAUGCCACUGUCUCUGGAGUUUCAUGUAGGCAGCGAAGGUGCCAAAUUGAAGAUGCUCAGGGAGCUUUACAGAAUCACAGUCACAGAAUGGUUGGGGUUGGAAGUGACAUCUGGAGAUCAUCUAUUCCAACCGACCUGCUAAAAUAGGUUCACGUAGAGCAGAUUGUGCAGGAAUGUGUCCAGGGGGGUCUUGAAUGUCUCCAGAGAAGGAGACUCCACAACCUCUCUGGGCAGCCUGUUCCAGUGCUCUGUCACCCUCAAAGUAAAGGAGUUUUUCCUCAUAUUCAGAUAGAACCUUCUAUGCUUCAGUCUGUGCCCGUUGUCCCUCAUCCUAUCGCUGGGCACCACUGAGAGGACUCUGGUACAUCUUCUUGAUAUCCGCCCUUCAUAGUGGAAUUCCUAACAAGAAUAUAUGCACCUUUUCUAUCUUCAGUAAACUCAUUCCAAGUUCAUCUUUUCAGUGUCACUCCCUGGCUUUUAAAAAACAGAGCCCCAGAUGCCACCUUCUGUACUCACACCAGCGUGGUUCAGCAGAAGGGUUCGAACCUUUGGCUCCACUAAGGAAAUUGCAGUCAUUUUGGCUAAUGGAAUAAUGGGUAGCAAUCUAAGCUUGUUAUUCUCAGUCUGAAUCAGCACUAGAGAGGAAUGGACACUUUACUAGCUUUUUUCACAGAUAUUUGUGACAGCAAAGAAAUUAUGGUUUUCAGUUCAUUUCCAUGUAUUUGAUUGAAGCAUGCUCUCUUAGAAGCCUCAAUGCUCCCUGCCAAUUUCCUCUUCUCCCCUCUCAUCUCCAAACUGUCUGUUUUGCAGGAUUGUGUCUUAGCUGUUGUUCCUCAUUUCACGGUCCUCUCCUCUCAGUCCCAACCUUUGCUCCAUAAACUCCAGCUCAAAUCAUUUACAGAUUACAUCUGGACUGCAGUUUUUCAAAGUCUUAUAAGAAAACCCAAUUUGAAUGGAAUUUCAGAAGAAUAAGGAUAAAACAACCACCAUACCAAGUUUCAGAUUGUAAAUUUUCUUGGACAGAAACCAUAUCUUAUCGCUUUGAGUGGUCCCUGUGCAACUUUUAGGUUUUUUUGGAAAGAAGCAGUGAAUCAGGGUAUGGAGGGAUUAAUCUGCUGGGUGGCUUUUUGGGAAUUGGUUCACCCUUGCCCACACACCACAGAAAAAGAGCAUCUCAUCAUUUUGGACUUUGAGUUUCUACUACCGCUAACAAGUUUCUGAAACUGCUUUAUACUUUCAUAUAAUGAUGUCUGUUCUUACUGAAAUUACAUGGUUGUACUAUCAGUACAAUGCAAAUAAAAAUGCAUGUCUGAGAAGAAUAGUGAAAAACGGACAGAGAGGAGAAAUCAAUGUGUAAAUGGUGAAUUUUCUUUUAGUUUUUAUAUACUGAGUAGGUUUGGGGGGCGGGGGGGCAUUCCUGAAAUUAAUCACAAAAAUGGUAUUCUUUUUUGGUUGUGUUCUUUGGGAUUUUCUCUGUUCCCCUUUCUUUUUCAUUUACAUUAUACAUUACUGAGCACAAUCAGCUAAAUGACUUUCAAGGUAUUUUUCCUAAACUACCCCUUUUUUCCUCAUUUUGAUUGCUUUGAACUUCAUUCAACUUUUUUUUUUUUCUUUUUUUCUUCUUUUUUUAAAUGUGCAGAGAACAGAAUCAAAUAAAGGUGUCUCUCAAUCUACUGAAUACCUCAAGUUUUGCUGAUGAUUUGUAAAGUGGGAGUACAGAAAAAAAAUCACACUCUCCCAAACCCCAACUCUUCAUAUCAGAUCUCUGAGAAAAUUUAGGAGCAAAGGAAGAAUAUAGAAAAUGGAAGGAAAGAUAGCCCAAAGCUGAAAGGGCACAAGCUCACAAAUUUGAUGAUUUAGUAUUUCAAAAUGAAAAAAAUAUUGAAACAGGUCCCUAAGUACACUUGAUUCAUGCUCACAGAGCUUGCCUCUAACACAUCUCACAGAUAAUUAAAUUGAUUUUAUAGUGAGCUAAUAGUGAUUUGACAGGACCCCAACAUGAAAAAAGGGCAGUACCUCUUAUUCAUAUAACUUGCUUUGUGUUGGCUUGGAGUAAUCUUGCAGCUGGGAAGAGUAUCUAAUCACUUUGCUUAUGCAGGUGGCAACUGAGUCACUGUGGCAAUUCAUAGUUACACUGACAUAAGACAGUAAUGAAAUUUCUGGUGAGAUUUGGAAAAAAAGAUGAAAGACUUAUUGACACAGAGAAUAAAAUUACACUCUAAAUGAGUCCUUACCUAACGCCAAGGGAUAUUGGGGAAAAGACUCCAUUGAUUCCCAAUGAACAAUUAAAGCAAUGGAGAAGGAGACAGCUCCAAUUUAGAAACUCAGAAGAUUGCCAAGUGUCUGGGAAUCUAUCUCGAAGAACAGAGGAAAAUGAUCUCAUAUAAUAAAAUUAACCGUAAAACAACAUCAGCUACAUUUUCCAAAGUAAUAGUGCCAGUAAUUUAUAAAAUGGGCACCCUGGAGCACCAACACAUGCAACUCAGCGCACUAUCAAAAGGCAGUAAAAUAUCUGAACACACAUACACCCACUCACACACCCACAUAGCCCCCAUCCAGCUUACUUAGACAGGUGGCAAUUUGAACAUUUCACUCUUUGCUGGCUGUUACACAACCCAGGAUUUGUUAUAUGAAUGUCUGCUGUCUAUUUUAUUUUCCCAAAGGACAUAACUUUACAAAAAUACUAACCCAAUUGUCAAAAGUUGUAAUUCUUGAUAUGCAGAAAGGCCCACAUAAGCAAAGUAACAAUCCCAGUCUGGCCAGCUUUAGACUAGUGACAGGUUUUGCACUAACACUUGUUAUCCUUAGAGAAACUUGAUCUCCCAAGUUGCUUUUCAAAAGCAGAAUAAUUUCAGAGAAAUACACAUGUUGAAUGCAUUGUCCAAAUGACCACCUGAGCUACAGGGGGACCUUGAUCAAGAUUUAAAACCACAGAUCAGAGAGACAAUCUAGUCCAUGUUCUCCAUCUCCAUUCAGAAGUUGGUGCAAUAUUCAGUUUAGGAAGCAAAAUUAGAUUAUCCUCUGGAAAUUGAGAUAGAACCAGUUCCCACCAGAAAGGAGACUGGAAAGCACCCAUUGUACAUGGAGACUUAGAACUGUGUGGAAAAAAUGCCAGUUUCUUCUCUUUUUUUCAAGUCACCUACAAAUUUUUUUUCUUGAAUAAAAGACGAAAGACAAGAGCCUAUAGUGGUUUAUUUAAAAAACUGUUUUUGAGAACAUUGAGAAUUUUAAUUAAAAAGCCCUGUGACAAAUUUUUCUAGAAGCAGCCAAAUACAUAGACCAAUAUAGAAUUGGUCCAUGCUUGGUGGCUUAAUUGAAAAGUAAUUACAGUAAAAAUGAACUGCAAUGGCAAGAAAUCUGUCAGGUGUUGGUUGGCUAUCUUAGACAGAAUAAUCAAUGUCCAGCACUUUCUUCUUCUGUGGAAUAAUACCCUCCGAAACAACGAGGAGGAAAACCACCACUGCCAGGUAAGGAAACUUUAUUGUUUUUGCUCUACAUGUAUCUCUGCAACAAGUUUCCAGGGUUGUUAAAUCUACCAUUCACAAAUGCUUAUUACAGAAUCACAGAAACAGAGAAUCACAGAAUGCUUGGGAUCAGAAGGGACCUCUGGAGAUCACCUAGUCUAAUCCCCCUGCUAAAGUAGGUUCACCCAGAUUGUGUCCAGGUGGGUUUUGAAGUUAUCCAGAGAAAGAGCCUCCAUGACCUCUCUGGGCAGCCUAUUCCAGUGCUCUGUCACCCUCAGGGAACUUUCUCUUCAUAUUUCAGAUGGAA